UCAGCUGUACAGCCGGGACAGCUCUGGACUUGUUCUAGGCACUGUAUCUUGCUUUCCAGAUUUGUCACGUUGUUUGCAAUAGUCCGCUAACAGGAGGGGAAAGUGCGGGGAGUUGUGGAAAGGGGAGGGGAGCUCUUUCUGCUUUGUCUCAGAAUUUAAGGAGACACCCUCCGAACUUGAGUAACCUGGCAGCUAGGCUGAAGCUGAGUCUCAUGCUUGAAGAACCGUAAAUUUUAUAGCAACGAAUUGGACCCGAUUCUGUUUACGUUGUUUGCAAACACUAUAUUAGAAAUUCCUUACUUAUGAAAAAGAAAGGAGAGUGAAAAGAAAGCAAAAGAAUGGGGACUGAAAGCCAGAAAAUUCUCUUCUAAUGUUUAAAGAGAAAAAUACGACUGAAAAAUAAAUCUCUUCCAGAAAAGAAUGGGAGAAAGAAUUUAUGCGGCAUCAGAAAUCAUUGUAAAUAUGAAUUCACUUGUAAGAUAAUUAUUCAUAAGAUAAAUAGGAGGCUUUUUGUAUGAAUCUUGUGACUGUUCUUGGCAACUAGAAAAUGUGGCAUGGAAAUAAAUGUAUGCAUUGAAGUUCAAUGGUCCUGGAGUAAAAUGUCAGCAUUUCCAUUUCAUAAUCAGUAACUCUGGAACAAGUUCAUCCCAGGAUAUUUCCUGGAUUCUCAAAUCAUGCACUGUGAAUUCACAAAGUGUGUGGGUGCUGUGUAACGGGUGCAUUUGGUGGUCGAGAGCUGCCUCCUGUUCUCCCCAAGUCUCCCCAGCAGAGAGACGGGACCACAGUCUGAUGGCAAAAAUGGCCUGUUUAAUGCCGAGCUGCUACCAUACUUCAGACAUCUGAGGGGUUUGAGGAAACAAGGACAACCUUAUAGAUUGCCUGGUGUUCAAAGAAAGAGACCCUCCUGUGUUCAAUAUGCCUUUGGUUUUGAAGUUAUGGUUGACUAAGUCCAAAUCCUGGUUGUUAGAUUAAAGGAAACAGGAUUAAGUGCUCUUCUCUCCAGGUCAAUUGUUUGACAUGUGAGCUUCUCUGUGGGUUUCCUAUUUGUUCAACACCCAAUGUGAACAUUCUCAAAAGACCGUGUAGUGCCCACCCUAUGGCAGGAGGGACAGUCCCCCUGCUGUAGCCACAGCGUGGCUGUCUUAAGUGAUACAGGCAAUCAUGGCUUUGCCUCCUUGUAGAUGAUUAACCUUAAUGUGUGCAACCUCUGAAGAAAACUAAUCCACCCUCACUAAAUAUAGACUCCAGUGUUCACUUAGAUUAGAUUUUCUUAAAUAAACCAUCCGUCUCUCUGAAAUGUCAGUUCCCUUUUUUGCUUUUCUACUUUACCACCUGCAAUACAUGGCAAUUGGACAGUUCUAUACUCACCAUAAAUAAAUAAAUUCAAACUAUCAGUGCAGUUCCUUACUUCAAAUUUCCCAGUUUCCUUUAAAGAAUGUACAGUUAUUACAGCAACAGUACUUAAUAGUAGUACAAGAUGGCUACUGUUAAAAAAUCAAUAAGAAUUGGCCAGAAUGCGGAGAAACAGGAAUCCUAGACUACAGUGGGGAUGUAGCUUGAGUUAUGCCCUCUUUCUUCCCCACAAGUUCAUGUGUUAAUAUUGUUAGUUUAUUACAGAAAAGCAAAAUCCAAUAGAUUUUCUUUUCUUUUAUCUAUUUUAUUCUAUUUUCUAUUUUCCUUUGUAAUAAGAGAUAUCAACAAAGAAAUGGUUAUACAAGGACACUGUGAGAGAGUUACAAAUCAGGAGAAACCCCUGCCAGGCGAGAGUUCUUACAAGAAACCAAUGCUGUCUGUGCCUUAGUCUUCAACAUCCAACCUCUGGCACUGUAACAAAAUGCAUUUACAUUUUUAAGAUUGCCUGGACAGUGGAAUUUUGAUAUGGCAGCCCUAAGGUGAUUAACACAAAUGUUUCCUCUAAAAAUAAUAAAAAUUAAAACUAUCUUAUGAUUUAGCAGUUACACAAAUGGAUACAUAUAAAACAAAAAAUGUAGGAUGCUGAGAAGA